rnacentral:rRNA from 1 species
AUUGAACGCUGGCGGCAGGCUUAACACAUGCAAGUCGAGCGGGGGAAGGUAGCUUGCUACCGGACCUAGCGGCGGACGGGUGAGUAAUGCUUAGGAAUCUGCCUAUUAGUGGGGGACAACAUCUCGAAAGGGAUGCUAAUACCGCAUACGUCCUACGGGAGAAAGCAGGGGAUCUUCGGACCUGGCGCUAAUAGAUGAGCCUAAGUCGGAUUAGCUAGUUGGUGGGGUAAAGGCCUACCAAGGCGACGAGCUGUAGCGGGUCUGAGAGGAUGGUCCGCCACACUGGGACUGAGACACGGCCCAGACUCCUACGGGAGGCAGCAGUGGGGAAUAUUGGACAAUGGGGGGAACCCUGAUCCAGCCAUGCCGCGUGUGUGAAGAAGGCCUUAUGGUUGUAAAGCACUUUAAGCGAGGAGGAGGCUACUCUAGUUAAUACCUAGGGAUAGUGGACGUUACUCGCAGAAUAAGCACCGGCUAACUCUGUGCCAGCAGCCGCGGUAA